CCUACGGGAGGCAGCAGUGAGGAAUAUUGGUCAAUGGACGCAAGUCUGAACCAGCCAUGCCGCGUGCAGGAUGACGGCCCUAUGAGUUGUAAACUGCUUUUGUACGAGGAUAAAAGCAGACACGCGUGUCUUUCUGAAAGUAUCGUAUGAAUAAGGAUCGGCUAACUCCGUGCCAGCAGCCGCGGUAAUACGGAGGAUUCAAGCGUUAUCCGGAUUUAUUGGGUUUAAAGGGAGCGUAGGUGGUUGGUUAAGUUAGAUGUGAAAUCCCGAGGCUCAACUUCGGAAUUGCCUCUGAUACUGGUCGGCUAGAGAGUAGUUGAGGUAGGCGGAAUGUAUGGUGUAGCGGUGAAAUGCUUAGAGAUCAUACAGAACACCGAUUGCGAAGGCAGCUUACCAAGCUACUACUGACGUUGAGGCACGAAAGUGUGGGUAUCAAACAGGAUUAGAUACCCGUGUAGUC
rnacentral:rRNA from 1 species